ensembl:lincRNA 9830004L10Rik RIKEN cDNA 9830004L10 gene
CUAUGGUCAGGGAACGGUUGGCUCUUUCUCCUGGAAUCAUCUCCGUGAGUGUGGUUAUUGGGAUCAGCAGGUAGCAAGGAGCUCCUCUCUUGAAAUUACGACUAGGAAAAGCAAGAAUUUUGUCUGGUUUAAGAUGCUGCUAGCUGCCAGAGUGAUUGGUGAGACAUGCAGAUGCUGGGACAAAGAAUGAAGCAGACCUGUGAGCUUGCUCAGUGCCCUGACAAUGGAGACAGGAAAGUUGUUUUGGACAUAUGUUCCUGACCCACCUUUGCUUGCCUAUAUCCCAGAUUGGACAAGCUUCCUUGCUUCAAGCUUUUAGACUUUGUGGGACAGAAAACAUGGAGACAGGAAUAUGACCUUGGCUAUGACAAGGAAGUAAGCUCAGGCAGAAAUCUGACAUUAGGGCAUAGUAAGUUUCGGCAAGAAUCUAACUUUAGGCUAUAAUAGGGAAGUAGGGUAAGGUAGGAAUUUUAAUCUUAGGGUGCAACAAAAGAAGUAGACUUCAGGCAAGAUUUUUGGCUUGGACAAGGAAGUGAUCUUAAGUAUUUUGGUCAUUAUUACAAGCCCUUUUAAACAACUGUCAUGGGAGUAAUCACGGGACUUUGCUUACUGCCUUGCUAGUUCCUUAUUGUACUGCUCACCCUUAAUACUUGCAUGUAAUUAAAAUGGUAUAAAAAGAGGAUUGGG